rnacentral:tRNA from 1 species
GCCCAGCUAGCUCAGUCAGUGGAGCAUGAGACUCUUAAUCUCAGGGUCGUGGGUUUGUGGCCCACGUUGGAUG